GAUGAACGCUGGCGGCGUGCCUAAUACAUGCAAGUCGAGCGAACGGACGAGAAGCUUGCUUUUCUGAUGUUAGCGGCGGACGGGUGAGUAACACGUGGAUAACCUACCUAUAAGACUGGGAUAACUUCGGGAAACCGGAGCUAAUACCGGAUAAUAUUUUGAACCGCAUGGUUCAAAAGUGAAAGACGGUCUUGCUGUCACUUAUAGAUGGAUCCGCGCUGCAUUGGCUAGUUGGUAAGGUAACGGCUUACCAAGGCAACGAUGCAUAGCCGACCUGAGAGGGUGAUCGGCCACACUGGAACUGAGACAUGGUCCAGACUCCUACGGGAGGCAGCAGUAGGGAAUCUUCCGCAAUGGGCGAAAGCCUGACGGAGCAACGCCGCGUGAGUGAUGAAGGUCUUCGGAUCGUAAAACUCUGUUAUUAGGGAAGAACAUAUGUGUAAGUAACUGUGCACAUCUUGACGGUACCUAAUCAGAAAGCCACGGCUAACUACGUG
rnacentral:rRNA from 1 species